CAGUCGAACGAAACUUCUUUAUCACCGAGUGCUUGCACUCACCGAUCAUUAGAUGAGUGGCGAACGGGUGAGUAACACGUGGGCAACCUGCCCAAAAGAGGGGGAUAACACUUGGAAACAGGUGCUAAUACCGCAUAACCAUAGUUACCGCAUGGUGACUAUGUAAAAGGUGGCUAUACUACCGCUUUUGGAUGGGCCCGCGGCGCAUUAGCUAGUUGGUAGGGUAAAGGCUUACCAAGGCAAUGAUGCGUAGCCGAAUUGAGAGGUUGAUCGGCCACAUUGGGACUGAGACACGGCCCAAACUCCUACGGGAGGCAGCAGUAGGGAAUCUUCCACAAUGGGCGAAAGCCUGAUGGAGCAACGCCGCGUGGGUGAAGAAGGUCUUCGGAUCGUAAAACCCUGUUGUUAGAGAAGAAAGUGCGUGAGAGUAACUGUUCACGUUUCGACGGUAUCUAACCAGAAAGCCACGGCUAACUACGUGCCAGCAGCCGCGGUAAUACGUAGGUGGCAAGCGUUAUCCGGAUUUAUUGGGCGUAAAGGGAACGCAGGCGGUCUUUUAAGUCUGAUGUGAAAGCCUUCGGCUUAACCGGAGUAGUGCAUUGGAAACUGGGAGACUUGAGUGCAGAAGAGGAGAGUGGAACUCCAUGUGUAGCGGUGAAAUGCGUAGAUAUAUGGAAGAACACCAGUGGCGAAAGCGGCUCUCUGGUCUGUAACUGACGCUGAGGUUCGAAAGCGUGGGUAGCAAACAGGAUUAGAUACCCUGGUAGUCCACGCCGUAAACGAUGAAUGCUAAGUGU
rnacentral:rRNA from 1 species